rnacentral:rRNA from 1 species
GCUUAACACAUGCAAGUCGAGGGGCAGCAUGAACUUAGCUUGCUAAGUUCGAUGGCGACCGGCGCACGGGUGAGUAACACGUAUCCAACCUUCCCGUUACUCUGGGAUAGCCUUUCGAAAGAAAGAUUAAUACCGGAUAGUAUCGAGAGAUUGCAUGAUAACCCGAUUAAAGAUUCAUCGGUAACGGAUGGGGAUGCGUUCCAUUAGAUAGUAGGCGGGGUAACGGCCCACCAUGCCCACGAUGUCUAGGGGUUCUGAGAGGAAGGUCCCCCACACUGGAACUGAGACACGGUCCAGACUCCUACGGGAGGCAGCAGUGAGGAAUAUUGGUCAAUGGUCGGAAGACUGAACCAGCCAAGUAGCGUGAAGGAUGAAGGUUCUAUGGAUUGUAAACUUCUUUUAUACGGGAAUAAAACCACCUACGUGUAGGUGCUUGUAUGUACCGUAUGAAUAAGCAUCGGCUAACUCCGUGCCAGCAGCCGCGGUAAUACGGAGGAUGCGAGCGUUAUCCGGAUUUAUUGGGUUUAAAGGGAGCGUAGACGGGAGAUUAAGUCAGUUGUGAAAGGCUGCGGCUCAACCGCAGCACUGCAGUUGAUACUGGUUUCCUUGAGUGCGGUUGAGGUAUGUGGAAUUCGUGGUGUAGCGGUGAAAUGCUUAGAUAUCACGAA